rnacentral:rRNA from 1 species
UACAGAGGGUGCGAGCGUUGUUCGGAAUUAUUGGGCGUAAAGGGCUCGUAGGCGGCCAACUAAGUCGGACGUGAAAUCCCUCGGCUCAACCGAGGAACUGCGUCCGAUACUGGCAGGCUGGAAUCCGGGAGAGGGAUGUGGAAUUCCAGGUGUAGCAGUGAAAUGCGUAGAUAUCUGGGGGAACACCGGUGGCGAAGGCGGCAUCCUGGACCGGUAUUGACGCUGAGGCGCGAAAGCUAGGGGAGCAAACGGG